CUUUUAGCAGAAAACAAGACAAUGGCCAAGGUGAAGGAUUCACACUCUGAAAUGGCCCAAGCUCGCCAGAGUGAUGGCAUCAAUGUAAUCUUUGAUCAGGAGAGCUCUUCCUCCUCCUCCCGUUCCCACUCCCGCUCUAGAAGCCCCGGUGUCAGCAGCCGCUCCUCUGGUUCCGGUCGCCACAGAGGACGUGGUAGCUACAGGAGACGUUACAGGUCUUCAUCAUCUUCGUGCAGCAGGUCCUCCUCUCACUCCAGGUCCCGCUCUCACCCCCGGUGCCACAGACGGUCCUCCCGCUGUCGCUGUGACAACCAUCACAGAUAUGGUCGUGGCCAGUACAGAGCCCACUCCCGCUCUUUGAGCCGGUCAGCCUCACCAGACAGAUACUCAAGUCACAGACAGUACAGGUCACGCUCCAGGUCCAGUCGCCAGACCAGGCACGGGAGAGAUGUGAGCAGUUUAAGAUACAGAUCGUCCCGUUCUUCAUCCAGAGCCAACAGGAGCCGCUCAAAGUCCAGAGCCUCAACACACUCUGUCAGUUUGAGUUUAGAUGAUAAAAUGGAAUUCCUCAACGCUGCAAAGGUCAAGGCUGUGAAGAUCCCAGAAAAGGAGAAGCUGGAACUCCUGGAGAGUGUGAAACCGAUCCUGUCAGAGCAGUCAGAGGAGUCCAGACAGAGUUCACCAGAUACAUGGGUGAGACAUGACGCUGAUGAAAGGACUCCAUCAAAGAUAACAUGACAGUGGUCUUCUUCACUCAUCGGCACCUGGGAUUAAAGGGCUGUCAUGUGACUUGGGUGACGACAAUAUGUGUAUGCGUUGAAGUUUAAUUGACAACUCUUGUAAUAUUGACAAUGUUUAGUUUAUCAACCAGUAUUGCAAGUAAAACCACACAUAUGUAGAU
ensembl:lncRNA